rnacentral:rRNA from 1 species
GACGAACGCUGGCGGCGUGCUUAACACAUGCAAGUCGAACGGAAAGGCCCUGCUUUUGUGGGGUGCUCGAGUGGCGAACGGGUGAGUAACACGUGAGUAGCCUGCCCUUGACUUUGGGAUAACUUCAGGAAACUGGGGCUAAUACCGGAUAGGAGCUCCUGCUGCAUGGUGGGGGUUGGAAAGUUUCGGCGGUUGGGGAUGGACUCGCGGCUUAUCAGCUUGUUGGUGGGGUAGUGGCUUACCAAGGCUUUGACGGGUAGCCGGCCUGAGAGGGUGACCGGCCACAUUGGGACUGAGAUACGGCCCAGACUCCUACGGGAGGCAGCAGUGGGGAAUAUUGCACAAUGGGCGGAAGCCUGAUGCAGCAACGCCGCGUGCGGGAUGACGGCCUUCGGGUUGUAAACCGCUUUCGCCUGUGACGAAGCGUGAGUGACGGUAAUGGGUAAAGGAGCACCGGCUAACUACGUG